rnacentral:rRNA from 1 species
AGGAAUAUUGGUCAAUGGACGAGAGUCUGAACCAGCCAAGUAGCGUGAAGGAUGACUGCCCUAUGGGUUGUAAACUUCUUUUAUAUGGGAAUAAAGUGAUCCACGUGUGGAUUUUUGUAUGUACCAUAUGAAUAAGGAUCGGCUAACUCCGUGCCAGCAGCCGCGGUAAUACGGAGGAUCCGAGCGUUAUCCGGAUUUAUUGGGUUUAAAGGGAGCGUAGGUGGACAGUUAAGUCAGUUGUGAAAGUUUGCGGCUCAACCGUAAAAUUGCAGUUGAUACUGGCUGUCUUGAGUACAGUAGAGGUGGGCGGAAUUCGUGGUGUAGCGGUGAAAUGCUUAGAUAUCACGAAGAACUCCGAUUGCGAAGGCAGCUCACUGGACUGCAACUGACACUGAUGCUCGAAAGUGUGGGUAUCAAACAGGAUUAGAUACCCUGGUAGUCCACACAGUAAACGAUGAAUACUCGCUGUUUGCGAUAUACAGUAAGCGGCCAAGCGAAAGCAUUAAGUAUUCCACCUGGGGAGUACGCCGGCAACGGUGAAACUCAAAGGAAUUGACGGGGGCCCGCACAAGCGGAGGAACAUGUGGUUUAAUUCGAUGAUACGCGAGGAACCUUACCCGGGCUUAAAUUGCAUUUGAAUAAUCAAGAAAUUGGUUAGUCGUAAGACAAAUGUGAAGGUGCUGCAUGGUUGUCGUCAGCUCGUGCCGUGAGGUGUCGGCUUAAGUGCCAUAACGAGCGCAACCCUUAUCUUCAGUUACUAACAGGUCAUGCUGAGGACUCUGGAGAGACUGCCGUCGUAAGAUGUGAGGAAGGUGGGGAUGACGUCAAAUCAGCACGGCCCUUACGUCCGGGGCUACACACGUGUUACAAUGGGGGGUACAGAAGGCCGCUACCUGGUGACAGGAUGCUAAUCCCAAAAGCCUCUCUCAGUUCGGAUCGAAGUCUGCAACCCGACUUCGUGAAGCUGGAUUCGCUAGUAAUCGCGCAUCAGCCAUGGCGCGGUGAAUACGUUCCCG